UCCAGACUCCUACGGGAGGCAGCAGUGGGGGAUAUUGCACAAUGGGGGGAACCCUGAUGCAGCGACGCCGCGUGGGUGAAGGAGCGUUUCGGCGCGUAAAGCCCUAUCGGCAGGGAAGAAGGAGGACGGUACCUGACUAAGAAGCCCCGGCUAACUACGUGCCAGCAGCCGCGGUAAUACGUAGGGGGCAAGCGUUAUCCGGAUUUACUGGGUGUAAAGGGGGCGCAGACGGCAGCGCAAGCCAGGAGUGAAAGCCCGGGGCCCAACCCCGGGACUGCUCUUGGAACUGCGCGGCUGGAGUGCAGGAGGGGCAGGCGGAAUUCCUGGUGUAGCGGUGAAAUGCGUAGAUAUCAGGAGGAACACCGGUGGCGAAGGCGGCCUGCUGGACUGCAACUGACGUUGAGGCCCGAAAGCGUGGGGAGCAAACAGGAUUAGAUACCCUCGUA
rnacentral:rRNA from 1 species